rnacentral:rRNA from 1 species
GACGAACGCUGGCGGCGUGCUUAACACAUGCAAGUCGAACGGAAAGGCCCUGCUUUUGUGGGGUGUUCGAGUGGCGAACGGGUGAGUAACACGUGAGUAACCUGCCCUUGACUUUGGGAUAACUUCAGGAAACUGGGGCUAAUACCGGAUAGGAGCUCCUGCUGCAUGGUGGGGGUUGGAAAGUUUCGGCGGUUGGGGAUGGACUCGCGGCUUAUCAGCUUGUUGGUGGGGUAGUGGCUUACCAAGGCUUUGACGGGUAGCCGGCCUGAGAGGGUGACCGGCUACAUUGGGACUGGGGUCCGACCAGGACUGCAAGGGGGGGCAGGGGUGGGAAUAUUGCACAAUGGGCGGAAGCCUGAUGCAGCAACGCCGCGUGCGGGAUGACGGCCUUCGGGUUGUAAACCGCUUUCGCCUGUGACGAAGCGUGAGUGACGGUAAUGGGUAAAGAAGCACCGGCUAACUACGUG